AAAGAAAGAAAGAAAGAAAGAAAGAAAGAAAGAAAGAAAGAAAGAAAGCAAACAAAGGAAGGAAGGAAGGAAGGAAGGAAGGAAGGAAGGAAGGAAGGAAGGAAGGAAGGAAGGAAAGAGGGCAUUGCUUCAAAUCUGUUGGAGAUAUGUAAUUUAAAAAUCUCAUUGGAUAUUUCUAAUACACUACUAAUGAUACCUUAGAAACUGGCUCAAUGAUAGAGGGAUUUCUAAGCAGUGUAAUUUCUACAUUCGAUGAACAGCUCCAUGAAUAUGCAAUAUAAAGAAUGAUUGCAGCUAACAUUGUUUCUAAUAAGGCUUAUUCCAAUCUCUGGGUUGCUUUUAAUAAUCACAUAGUCAUUCAGAAGAUUUGUUCUCCUGCUCCAUUUUGAAGGCUGUUCUGUGCUUCAUAAAAUCAGUUCAUAUAAAACCACUGAGUUGAUUUUUCAUUUUGCCUUUUCUGGAUACCUAGGGAUACAAUUGCAACUUGUCAUUUAUUCUAUAUGCAUUUUUGAAAGAUAACAUUUUUUUGUAUUUUGGGGCUGUUGUAAAUAAAAUGCUGUAAUUACAUAGCUUAUAAACAACAAACAACUGUCACAUCCCAACCUAGAGGCUGAGAAGGCCAAGUAGAGCCAGCAGAGGUGGGUUCUAGUGUGAGCACACACUUCCUGCCUCACAGAUGAUGGUCUUGCUGUGCUUUCUCCUGUCAGAUGGGCAAAGGAUGUUCUUGGAGGCCUCUUUUAUGAGCACAAUAAGCCAAACCUGAGAGUCAGAGCCCUCAAUGUGAGCCCUUCACACAGGCUCCGCCACCACACACCCCCGUCUUGUGACUAAAUCUCAACAUAAUGGACUGGGAGAGUGGAUGGCACAAGGGUUCUGACUGUCACACCUGGGUGCGUGUCAUUCAAUAAGAGCAAUGAUGACUUGUUCCACCUAGAAAGUGCUCUGAAUAGAGAGGCAUCUCAAUGCAAUUUCUUCACCAUUACUCACUCAUCUUUUUGUGAUAUCACUUUCCUUUAUUAUCCAGAAACAUAAGUGGAGGAGGGAGAGCUACAGGGCAUGGAUCCACAGAAGAGGAAGUAGGAUAUCACUGUGAUAUAUUCUUUGUUUGUUUGUUUGUUUGUUUGUUUGUUUGUUUGAACUGAGUGUCAGAGAUCCUAGCAGGGUUCUACUCUAUGGACUGGAUGCCUCUUCUGUGAGGUCUUGAAUUCAUGGAAGUGAUUAAAAUCUGAUUUGGAUAGAUUAGCAUAUCUCAGAGAUUUCUAAUUAACUGAGAUUCUCUUCCCCUUGUCUUUUUUUCUCCCUCUUUCUUUUCAUUUUCAUUUUCAUUUUUUUUCUUGCCUUGAUUUUUGUUUUUAUUAAGUCAUUUUUUUUCUUUGUUAGGCAGAAUCUCACAUCAUAACCCCAAAUGACCUGUUACUCACCAUGUGGCCCAGCUGUCUUCAAACUCACCAGCCUCCUGCCUUAGCCUUCUAAAUGCUUGGAUUACAGGCAUGACCCACCAUAACUGGCUUUGUUUUAGUUUCAGAGAAGAUGAAACUGAUGUGCGUCAAAAAGUAAACUACCCACAUUUUAACUGGGCACAUUCCUGUCAAUCUGAUGAGAAUCUAUUUCAUACCCUGCUUUAGCUGGUAGUCUGUCAAGGAAAUGAGCUGAACAUGUCUGUGUACAGCUUUUGUGCCAUCCCUGGAUGAGCGAGCUGUCUGCCUCUAUGUUCUCCACAAAAUGGAAUAUAGCUGUACACCCAAGCCAAGUUAUGGAGGCUGGGAAGACCUAGAAUGUGGCAUCACUAUUUGCUGAAAUUUUUAAUAUAAUGCCUCUUAGCCUGGUUUGGAGAAAACGUCACAGAGAGGCACCAUUUGUUGUGGUUUUACAUGAAAAUUUUCUGACCCUGAACCUGGUUUGAUGGAAAUCAUUUGCUGAGGUUAUUUAGAAAAUUGUUACCUCAAAAAUGACCUAGGGGUCCUUAGAAUAAUAACACACAGAAGAAUAGCCUCAUUUUUCUGUUGGGCCCAGGAAACCAUGCCGAUUACCGACCGAGCUCUCAAUGGAAAAAUGCAGUCGGCGUGAACCACGCACGAACACAGCAGAGAAAGAAGAAAACACACACCACGAGGAACCCUAAUAGGACAAUACAUUAUAAGCCUCAUGGUACAUCCACUUGGUGUGCUGGGAGAGUCAGGAUGAGGACCUGAGAAGAACAGCAGCUUGAACCUGACUUCAUUUAACAGCCCACUGCCCUCUUGCCAAGAACCCAUCACAGACCUUCCCAGAAGAGAGGGAUGAGCCUCACCUAUGAAUAAGUCCUCAGAAACUCAAAUUUGAUUCUAAUGGAUUGUUUUCUCAGAAAGACUGAGCAUGUCCCCCCACAUCUCUGUCAUUUCCCACAGUAGUAACCUCUGCAGAUGCCACAUAGAAAACAAAACAAAACAAAAAAACAUGAGGUUGGUGGGCAGAUAGGCAGGGUAUAAACAAACAGCCUUGUAACCCAGAAGCUGUGUGAUAUACAGUAAACUUCACAACACUGAAAAGAUGUCCUAUCUGUUAAAAUGGGGUAAUAACAACUACCCGAAUGUUUAGGAAUAGAACUUCAAUAAAUGAUACAUUUUAUAGUACAGCAGACCAUCCUGUAAAGGUUUCAUCCUUCACUGUGGUGAUAAAUAUCCCAAACCACAUUGAAAAGCAUUGCAUCUACAUUUAUCUACACUGUAACUGUACUGUAAAUCAUGGGGGAGGGGAGAAUCAUAAAAACACCACCUGUCACCGUGUCAUUAAAGCAAGUUGGAAGUGAUACUUACAGAAACACAGCAAGAGCACCCCCAGUCACACAGUUCAAUCUCUUAGCAAGCGUUUUCUUUCUAGCCCAGUGGUUCUCAGUUUGGAAUUUUUGGCACUGCCUAGAGAUAGUUUUGUUGUUAAAACUGAGAAAAGAGCCGGGCGUGGUGGCACACGCCUUUAAUCCCAGCACUCAGGAGGCAGAGGCAGG
rnacentral:lncRNA from 1 species